UACGGAGGGUGCAAGCGUUAUUCGGAUUUACUGGGCGUAAAGCGCAUGUAGGCGGUUGGAUAAGUCUGGUGUGAAAUCCCGAAGCUCAACUUCGGAAGUGCAUUGGAUACUGUCUGACUAGAAUUCAGGAGAGGAGAGUGGAAUUCCAGGUGUAGAGGUGAAAUUCGUAGAUAUCUGGAGGAACACCAGUGGCGAAGGCGGCUCUCUGGACUGACAUUGACGCUGAGAUGCGAAAGCGUGGGUAGCAAACAGG
rnacentral:rRNA from 1 species